UACGUAGGUGGCAAGCGUUGUCCGGAUUUACUGGGCGUAAAGAGCGCGCAGGCGGUCGGAUAAGUCGAAUGUGAAAGCCCCCGGCUCAACUGGGGAGGGUCAUUCGAUACUGCUCGGCUCGAAGACAGGAGAGGGAAGUGGAAUUCCCGGUGUAGUGGUGAAAUGCGUAGAUAUCGGGAGGAACACCAGUGGCGAAGGCGACUUUCUGGCCUGUUCUUGACGCUGAGGCGCGAAAGCUAGGGGAGCAAACGGG
rnacentral:rRNA from 1 species